AACGAACGCUGGCGGCGUGCCUAACACAUGCAAGUCGUACGAGAAAGUUCCCGCAAGGGGAUGAGUAAAGUGGCGCACGGGUGAGUAACGCGUGGGUAACCUACCCUUAAAUCGGGGAUAACUCCGCGAAAGCGGGGCUAAUACCGAAUAAUACCCCAUUUUCCUUGGAGAAUGGGGUCAAAGUUGGCCUCUGCGUGCAAGCUAUUGUUUAAGGAUGGGCCCGCGUACCAUUAGCUUGUUGGUAGGGUAAUGGCCUACCAAGGCUGCGAUGGUUAGCUGGUCUGAGAGGAUGGCCAGCCACACUGGAACUGAGACACGGUCCAGACUCCUACGGGAGGCAGCAGUGGGGAAUCUUGCGCAAUGGGGGAAACCCUGACGCAGCAACGCCGCGUGGGUGAUGAAGGCCUUCGGGUCGUAAAGCCCUGUCAAGUGGAAAGAAACGUGACAAUGCUAAUAUCAUUGUCAUUUGACGGUACCACUGGAGGAAGCACCGGCUAACUCCGUGCCAGCCGCCGCGGUAAUAC
rnacentral:rRNA from 1 species